CCUGGCCCCACCUCAGAGCCCUUGGCAGCACACCUUGUUCUCAGAGGUGUUUCAGUUUCUGAUGGGGUAUUUUGUGAGAAAUAAAAUGCACUUCACAGCUCUCUCUGUCAUGUACUAUAAUUGCAAUCAACAUUUCUGUGUAUCAUAAUAAUGAUGAAGAUGAUGAUGAUGGCCACUGUUUCCCACCUCUUUGCUGCAGGAAAAGAGCUGACUGCAACAGGAUGUGCUGUUUUCUGUCUAUGUGCACUUCGCUUUCUCAACAGAAAAGACAAAAAAAAAAAGGGAAAACAAAAACUGAAGACUGAAAAUGGACGAAAACAAAACAGAUCUUGGUGCUUGUGUUUCUUUGCACUGGGAGAGAAAGAAAUGAGAGUUAAAAUAUCUAGAUUUUAUAAAGAUACAAUGAAAACUCGAUAACAAAUCCAUAACAAAUAUCACUGAUAAUGUACAAAAUGAUAAAAUCUCAUUUUCAUGCUCUUUUUGGGUUGUUUUAUUUGUUCAU
rnacentral:lncRNA from 1 species